UCGUGUGAGUGCAUCCAAUACCCUUGGC
rnacentral:piRNA from 1 species